AGAUGGACUUAGACCUCCCCAACCUCAUCACUUCAUCACAAGAAGAGGCAGGUCUGAGGAGGAUGCUAGCAACUCUCUUCCUUCCCAUCACAUGGUUUGGUCAACAUGACUGGUAGCUGCUUAAUUUAAUCAUUCAAGUGGUCAAGUGGCUGUUCAGUCCUUCCUCAAAUCCUCUUAUACUCAAAAGAGUCUCAACAAGAGGGAGAACCCAACCCAGUUUCAUGGCUUGUUUCAGUUUUUAAAUCAAAUUGUUCUUUGGGGGCCAAAUGGGGAAAUUAUUUCAAAAAAUGUAUCCAAAUUUAAUAUUAAUUUUCUAUACAAUGGACCAUAAAAAUGGCAGAAGUGGGCUCUGUGGAGUGUUUAAAGCUUAGUAAAACAUCAAAAAAGUCAAGAUCAUCCACUGCAACCCAAGCCAUCACUAAUCAUCUUGACUUUUGUUUUGCCACUAGUCUUAGAUAACCUUGGAAAAAAGAGUGAAUCUGUGACUUUGUGCAGUUCUGUUUCACUUAAAUCUAAUUUAUUCAUGAGUCCAAAGACAUCACCAGUGAUAUCAUUUGGUCCCCUUUGAGUAUGAAGGACAACCAGCCAAUAGCUGAACAAAUGAUGUUAUAUUAAUAUAUUAUGUUAUAGGAAAUGAUGAGAUGAUGUCAGAGAAACCUGGAAAGACUUACAUGAAUUGAUGUAAAAUGGGAAGAAUAACUUAUGCUAUAAUGAUUACAUUAUUAAAAAUUUUUGGAAGAUUUAAGAACCCUGAUCAUUGCAAUAACCAACUAUGACCCCAGAGAACCAGUGAUGACAAAUGAUAACCCAGGGGAAUGGACUUAAUAUAGAGAAAGAGAAAGAAGUUUUUAGAUAUGGUCAAUGUAUGUAUGGUUUGUUUAACAAGGCAUUUUGUAAGAGAAUUUUUUUCUUUUUUUCCGGUAAGAGAGUGAGGUCAGUGGAAUAGAAAUAAAUACUUCACAAUUUUUAAGAAGAAAAGAAAAAAAUAAAAACAAGGGAAAAUGAAAAGAUACUAGAAACAAAAUAAAAAAUUAAGGAAUCCCAAUGAAAGGCUAUAAAGUUGUCUUAAACUCUAUUUUAGUUUAUAGAAUUCAAUAAUAUUGAUUACAGAAAGAUAUCCUGAAUUAUAUGACAUGCUUUCAUUGAAUUCGAAUGUCCUAAUAUUGAAUGUGCUUAAAUGUAAUUUAAUGACUAGAUUAGUAUAAUUGGAAAUAUACUACGUUAAGAAAUUACAUUUUAAUAUUAAAAAUACAAUUUUAAAACUAUGUUCUAUGUUGAAAUUAUAAACAAGAUGAUUUCAGAAAAAGCUCAAAAGAUCUGUAUGAACUGAAUCAGAAUGAAAUAAGCAGAACUAGGAGAACAUUAUACACAGAAACAGCAAUAUUGUACAAUGAUUGUGAAAAGUUGGCUACUCUCAGCAAUACAUUGAUUAGGGACAAACCUAGAAGACUUAUUUAUGACUGGGCUUGUUAUCUCCAGGGAAAGAACUGUUGGAGUUGGAUGGAUCAGAUCAAAACAGACUAUCUUUCACUUCUGUGAAUUUAUGGUUUUAUUUUGAGGUUUUGCUUUUGUGUGAGUGUGCCCUUACAAUGAUGGCCAUAGUGGAAGUGUAUUUGCAUGAUAAUAAAAAAUUUUUAAAACAAUCUUAUAUCAACUGAUGACUACUUGCAAACUUUAUGCAACUGUCCAGAACAGCACCUAGCAGAAAAGUUCAGAUGGUUCUCUAUAUAAUCAAUAUGAUAGAGACAUGUAUUUUUACUCAUUUAUUAUAACCCAAAUAUUCUUGGGAGUAAGAGAAAAGAAAAGGUCCUUGUGUGAGGAAGUUUGGAGCUAGGUGAAGAUUACUAGUAACUUUCACCCAAUUUUAAUAGGUAAUUGGUAACUGAUAAUUAUUUUUUAAAUUUAUAUAUAAUUUGAUAGAUAGAGCUAGCUUCAGGAAGGAUGUGAGUUCAGGUCUUUCCCCUUGUAUAUUGUAGAAAAUUGGACAUGACAAUUCUCUGGUGGUUCAGGCAAACAUCUGAUGCUAUAAAUUGCAGGCAAGCUCCUUAACAUCAAGGACUGUCUUUUGCCUCUUUUUAUAUUUUCAGGGCUUAGCACAAUGCCUGGCACAUGAUAGGUAUUUAAUAAAUGUUUACUGAAUGAAUGAAGAAAUCUGGAUCAAUCAUUUUCUCAUCAGAAAUUCCAAUCAGAAAUGAUAUCGCAGGGUUGAUCCCCUCCUCCCAAAAAAUGUUUAACUGUAAGGCUGCCCAGAAGCUGCAACAGAAGCCACCAGGGGAUGAGUCUACUUUUGUGGGAGGAAUAAUGCUCUUAGCCUCAAAACAGCCUUGUUUUGUUGGCUUUUCUCACCUGAAAUCAUGAGGAGGCAGCCAAAGGCAAUGAAAACCCAGGAGAGACACAGCAGUAUUAGUUUUCUGACCAUGAAAGGAAACAGAAUUUCCCAAUGGAAUUAUGUUUCAGGCUUCAUUUGCACAGCUAAGUCUGCUGAAGAGAAACAUCUAUGAAGUUCAGUAAGAUGAUGGACUUCUCUCAACGAAUCACUAAAAUGGAGUCAGGGAACUUUUAGAUCAAAACAAGUUGAGUUUCCCAGCCUAAGCCCCAGUUCAGAGAGGAUUGAAACAGUCUUUGUUUUGAUUGGUUAAAAGGCUAUAGAAUAUGCAAAUAGGAUUGAAACAGCCCUUGUUUUGAUUGGUUAAAAAGAUAUAGGUUAUGCAGAGAGGACUGAAACAAUCCUUGUUUUAAUUGGUUAAAAAGCUAUAGAAUAUGCAGAUAGGAUCGAAACAGUCCUUGUUUUGAUUGGUUAAAACCACUUGAAUAUAAAACAGAUAAUUGUUUUUGUAAAUUGCAUGUUCAGAUUAGCUAGCUUUCCAGAUAAAACAGUAACUCUCAAGUAAUCAGCCAAUGCUUGCUGGAUGUAGCACUUGUAGCACUGGCUCCAGAGUUUCUCCAGAGGAAGAAGAGACUUUGACACGGACUCCAAAAUCAAGAUUCUUUUAAGAUUUCAUAAGGCAGUGCUGUGGAAUUUGACUGUGGCUGAAACAGUCUGGAAUAGUAAGAUCCACAUCCACCUUGAGGUUUGAUUAUUUCCUCUUAAAAGAUAAUGCUUGCAAUUUGGCUAUCAGUCAUGUCAACUCAGGUAGCCUAAGCUUUAGGAGACUGAGGUCAAUGAGGGGGAUAUGACUAUUUUAUUAGGAAGCGAACCACAGACUUUCUCAUACAGAUUUGGUUUUAAAUAAAAAAAGCAAAUAUGUAAUUAAGCACUAAGGA